UACGUAGGGGGCGAGCGUUGUCCGGAGUUACUGGGCGUAAAGCGCUUGUAGGCGGUCCACCAAGUUUGGGGUGACAGUUGCCGACUUAAUCGGCAAAGUGCCUCAAAGACUGGCGGACUUGAGGGCUUCAGAGGGACACGGAAUUCCGGGUGGAGUGGUGAAAUGCGUAGAGAUCCGGAGGAACACCAAAGGCGAAGGCAGUGUCCUGGGGAGUACCUGACGCUCAGGUGCGAAAGCCAGGGGAGCGAACGGG
rnacentral:rRNA from 1 species